rnacentral:misc_RNA from 1 species
CUGAAGAAAUGGCUAGAGUUGAGCUGACUCUUCGGAGUACGUGCUCGCUCUGGUCGCUCCUUCUCACUUUCCACUGUGCACCUUCUGUAGGCUCAACGACGAAUCUCAGUUGCUCUCUGCAACUGGUCUUGAGAGCUCGCACGCAAGUGCUUGUACUCUCGACUGUCGUCGGCCUAUGUCUCACAAACUACCAAGUCUUAUGAAUGUCUAUUUGUUGGUCUUUGACCGAUAAAAACUAUA